AAAAUGAAUAUUGUUUAUUGAUAACUCUGUGAAGACUACAUUCGAUGUGUAGGCAGAGAAACACCGAAAAGUGCUCGGGGCAAACGAAACAAUGAUAGUUGUGGAUAGCUGACCGCUGUUUGAUUGUGAAUGAAAAACAGAAUCCUUGUCAGGAGAAAGUAAAGGUGUUGUGCUAAAGUUAUCGCAGUUAAAGGUAUCCGUGGAGUUGCAGGAAUAAUAGAAGACAAGCGUUAAAAGCGUAGUCUGAAUCCAAGUUAGGGUUUAGCUGGUGACUGGUAUCAAACCUUGGAAAUACCACCAAUCCUGUUUGCGGUGAUGACAAAGAAAUUUGUCUAUAAGACUCUACAGAAUCCAAGUAGCGGAAAUCGCAAUGACACACAUUUUUUGAUGAUAUUUAGAAAAAUAUAAUGAAAAAAUUCUGAAUAUCCCGUGAAAGGUAAAGGUAACCAUUCCUUUAAUAGCAUUGUGCGAAUGUAUGCUGUUCUUAAGUGGGAUAGUGUACUAUGCUUGGGCAAGAAGUUAUAAGAGGACGCUUUUAUAGCUCAGACUUGUCUACUAUGUGACUGAAAAUAACUGAAGAUAAUGGCAGUAAGGCGAAGGUCUAUCAAUAAAAAGUAUUCAUU
rnacentral:ncRNA from 1 species